rnacentral:rRNA from 1 species
GAUGAACGCUAGCGGCAGGCCUAACACAUGCAAGUCGAGGGAGAAGCCCUUUCGGGGGCAGAAACCGGCGCACGGGUGCGUAACGCGUAUGCAACCUACCUUUCACAGGGGGAUAGCCCGAAGAAAUUUGGAUUAAUACCCCAUAAUAUUAUUGGAUGGCAUCAUUUGAUAUUUAAAACUGCGGUGGUGAAAGAUGGGCAUGCGUCCUAUUAGCUAGUUGGAGUGGUAACGGCACCCCAAGGCUACGAUAGGUAGGGGUCCUGAGAGGGAGAUCCCCCACACUGGUACUGAGACAGGGACCAGACUCCUACGGGAGGCAGCAGUGAGGAAUAUUGGUCAAUGGUCGGAGGACUGAACCAGCCAUGCCGCGUGCAGGAAGAAUGCCUUAUGGGUUGUAAACUGCUUUUAUAUGGGAAGAAUAAGGCGUACGUGUACGUUGAUGACGGUACCAUAUGAAUAAGCAUCGGCUAACUCCGUG